CAGAACCGGCCGCUGCGGCCCGGGCUUCCGGGCGUUGAUCACCUCCAGCUCCACUCAGCCCGGCGAGGCCGCCUCAUUAACCCCAUUUUACCGAUGAGCACACUGAGGCUCAGUUCAAGCGACAGCUCGGCCUUGGAUCCCGGUUUGACCUCAAAACCUAUUGCCUUCCCCGGUGCUCGCCCCUGAGCCCCCCCAAGCGCUUGCCGGGCUCCCAGCCCCUCUGACUUCAGAUUUUCACGAGUCUCGUGGGCCGGGGAGCCCCCGCACUGGCGCCGCGCACCGGGUACAGCCGCUCGCGUUCCCCUCGGGAGCAGACCGAGGUCCGGGCAGGUCACCGGGGCUGGAGUCCGCUCGCUCAGGCGCAGAAGAUCCCCUGUCCCUUGGCUCAGUCCCUUAAGUCGCUCUCCGCUUCUGCUGUCCUCGCCCGCUUCCAACCCCUCGGCUCAGCUCGGCCGCUCCUGAGGGAGGGACGCCCUUCCCAGAAGCUGCGGAGGCUCCAGCCCGGCGCCCGGCCGAGGCCUCCCUUGGCCGCUCCGCGGGUCUGCGGCGCCUCCUGCAGGUGACUGACCUCCCACACUGGGGAUGGGAACCCCAUGAGAAGCGGCACCAGGCUGUCUCGAGUGGGCUGACCACAUCGUUUGUCAUCCGAACGAGAACUCUUCUGAGAGUGAAGGAGGUGCUGAGUGGAACAAUAGGCAUAAACCAGACCCCAGGACAGCGGGUGUAAACCAGGACCGGGCCGCGUGGUCACCCAAUCUCUGAAGGACGCCUCCGAGGCGCCUCUGAGUCUACCUCGGUUUCUCACACUUGGCACGCCAGCUCACCCCGGCUCACCCCGGCUCACCCCGGCUCACCCCGGCUCACCUGGCUCUAGACCUCAGUUUCCAGCUCUGCUUCCACCGCCCCAGUGGCAUCCACAGGCCUUCCAUUUCAACCCUUACACUUGCGUUUGCUCCUCUCUUACCUUCUAUCCCAGCUAAGGAAUGGCCUUUCACCUGGUCCCCCAAUCUGGAAAUCCCCUCACCCCUUAUUUACAUCCACCUGGUUAGAGUCCUGGUGAGCCUGCUUCUAGCCUGUGUCACACAUAGCCCUUCCUCCUUUCCAGUCCUGCUGUCCCAGCCUGACCUCCGUUCCUCCUGCAGUCCUCUCUCCCUGAGGCCACCCUCCAUUUUUCAUGCCAAAAGCCCUACGGCUCUGGAUUUUGGCUGAGUCAGGGACCACAUAGGUGUGAAGCAUCAGGCAGAACCACUUAACUGGUUGGACCCACUUACUAACUGAUGUAGAAUGUUCCAGAAUCUCUCCAGGGCUUUUUGAAUGAUUGGCACAUCUCGAGGGCCUGACACAAAUGAUUCGUUUGGAGCUCAGGAGCUGUGUCAGAAGGAACUCGAUGCCACUUGUAAGUGACAGAAGGUAGAUCUUAAAGGAGGCUUCUGGAAAGGUGGUGGCAGGACAGAGAGCCAGGAAGUGAGGUGAGGUGGGAAGACGUGCAGUAGAAAAGCCGGACUGAGCAGCUGGAGAGAGCCAGGGGCGUGGGUGAUGUGUGACGCUGUGCCUGAGCUCUGCCGUCUGGGGGAGUCUGUGUCAGGCUGAGAGGUGGAGGCAAGGGCUGGGUGCCUGGGAUCCCCGCUGCUCUGCUGUGGGUUCCACCUCAGGCCCCAGACAGGGCUGGCGGUGGCAGGUGGGAGGUGGCUCCCUACCGGCCGGAGGGGAGGACACGAGAGAGCUCAGUGGCCUGGAGGAGAGGACAGGGAGGGGGUCACAGCCCUGGCAGAGGCCCACCGUUGGCCCAGAGGCCAGGGGGUGGCAGAGGUUAGCCGAGCGGCCCGUGAGUGGGGCAGGGUGGUCAGUGGAGUCGAACGAUGGCAAAAGGGGCCGGCAAUGGCCAGGGUUGCGUGUGAAACAGCCCUCCCCAGAUGGGAUAGACAGCCCACGAACUGCGGGAGGCCACGGAACGUUGGGGUAAGCACCUCUGAGGAUUCUAGGAAAUACUGUAUCCAACUUUUUAUUUUAGAAAAUCCAAAAUGGGGCUCCUGGGUGGCUCAGUCAGUUAAGCAUCUGCCUUUGGCUCAGGUCAUGACCGGGGUCCUGGGAUGGAGCCCCAUGUUGGGCCCUUCUCACUCUCCCUCUCCCUCUGCCAUUCCCCUUGCUUAUGCUCUCUCUCUGUGUCAAAUAAAUAAAUAAAAUCUUUUUAAAAAAGAAAAUUCAAAAUGUGCACAAAAGUAGAGGUAAUAUUCUUAUGAAUCAUCCAGGUAUUUCUAUGUACCUGCUUACUCUCCCUCCUAAUUUUUUUUUAAGAUUUUAUUUAUUUAUUCAUGAGAGACAC